UACGUAGGGGGCAAGCGUUGUCCGGAAUCAUUGGGCGUAAAGCGCGUGUAGGCGGCCCGGUAAGUCCGCUGUGAAAGUCCAGGGCUCAACUCUGGAAUGCCGGCCGAUACUGUCGGACUAGAGUCCGGAAGAGGCGAGUGGAAUUCCUGGUGUAGCGGUGAAAUGCGCAGAUAUCAGGAGGAACACCAAUGGCGAAGGCAGCUCGCUGGGACGGUACUGACGCUGAGACGCGAAAGCGUGGGGAGCAAACAGG
rnacentral:rRNA from 1 species